GGCCUUUGGGUCUGCAAUGAUUAUUGAGUUAAUGGACUCAUUAUCAAACACCUUAAUGGGAGGCUAUGACUUAGUUAUCUUCAUAACUUUAUCAUUUUAAGGACCUAAUAAUUUUAGAGGAUUUAAAUAAUUUAGAGGAUGAGGUCAGAUGAACCAGCGUAUCAUGAUCCUCCCAUUGGCUUCACCAAGUCAGCUUAAGGGAGACCAUUAAAAGGCUGGUCUAGGAGCACCUAAAUCAGUCACACUGAUUUACCUAGCUGACAUGGGUCAGCUCGAAUAGUCAAG
rnacentral:lncRNA from 1 species